rnacentral:rRNA from 1 species
AUUGAACGCUGGCGGCAGGCCUAACACAUGCAAGUCGAGCGGAUGAGUGGAGCUUGCUCCAUGAUUCAGCGGCGGACGGGUGAGUAAUGCCUAGGAAUCUGCCUGGUAGUGGGGGACAACGUUUCGAAAGGAACGCUAAUACCGCAUACGUCCUACGGGAGAAAGCAGGGGACCUUCGGGCCUUGCGCUAUCAGAUGAGCCUAGGUCGGAUUAGCUAGUAGGUGAGGUAAGGGCUCACCUAGGCGACGAUCCGUAACUGGUCUGAGAGGAUGAUCAGUCACACUGGAACUGAGACACGGUCCAGACUCCUACGGGAGGCAGCAGUGGGGAAUAUUGGACAAUGGGCGAAAGCCUGAUCCAGCCAUGCCGCGUGUGUGAAGAAGGUCUUCGGAUUGUAAAGCACUUUAAGUUGGGAGGAAGGGCAGUAAGCUAAUACCUUGCUGUUUUGACGUUACCAACAGAAUAAGCACCGGCUAACUUCGUGCCAGCCGCCGCCGUAAGAC